GUCCGCAACGAGCGCAACCUCUGUCGUUAGUCGCCAGCAUUGAGUUGGGAACUCUAACGAGACUGCCGACGUUAAGUCGGAGGAAGGUGGAGAUGACGUCAAGUCCUCAUGGCCCUUAUGCCCAGGGCUACACACGUGCUACAAUGGCCGGUACAAAGAGCUGCGAAAUCGCGAGGUUAAGCUAAUCUCAAAAAGCCGGUCUCAGUUCGGAUUGGAGUCUGCAACUCGACUCCAUGAAGUUGGAAUCGCUAGUAAUCGUAGAUCAGCACGCUACGGUGAAUACGUUCCCGGGCCUUGUACACACCGCCCGUCACACCAU
rnacentral:rRNA from 1 species